AAAAAGGGUAGGCCUUUUCUGGGGCUGGACUGUCCGCAGUCACAGGUGAAUCGCGAUCAAGAGAUUUGCCCUACAGAAUUUCUUCACCGCUGGCAGUGUCGGCUCCAGGAGCUACCAUUGCCAG
rfam:Aphanomyces astaci strain APO3 cont1.1340, whole genome shotgun sequence.